AGUGACCUUUCUGAGUCGUCGGUUGUGGUUGGGUUGGGGCUGCUGGAGCCGCUAGUCCUGCGCCGAGAUGCUUCAGAGCCUUAUCAAGAACGUUUGGAUCCCCUUGAAGCCCUACUACACCCAAGUUUACCAGGAGAUUUGGGUAGGAAUGGGGUUGAUGGGAUUCAUCGUCUAUAAAAUCAGGAGUGCUGAUAAAAGAAGUAAAGCCUUGAAAGCUUCCAGUCCUGCUCCUGCUCAUGGCCACCACUAACCACCUCCGCUCGGAUGGGACGUCGGCCUGGCCGCACCGUGGGAUUGUGCGUGGCACGUCACGUCCACUGGUAGCAGUGCUGCUGCCCUGCAGAAUAAACCUACCCGUGAGAUCCACACUGCCUGCGCCGUGACCCUCCCGCCGGCCAGAGUCCCGCUGAGAAAGCCGGGGGCGGAGGGGGGAGAGCGCCAUGGGCGCAGGCGUGGGGGCGGAUCUAGGCACUCGCUCUGGUGGGCAAUAAACAUCUGUUCUGCACGUGACUCUGCUGCUGCUCCUGUGACCUCCUCGAGCCCACUUCCGCAUCUGCAAAAGGGAGGUAAUGACAUACCCAUUGUAACUGCGUCCCUGGGAAGCUCAGCAAGAGGAGUCCUGGGGAGGUCCCGUCCUGGCGCAGUGGAAACAAAUCCGACUGGGAACCAUGAGGUUGGGGGUUCGAUCCCUGGCCUUGCCCAGUGGUUGAGGAUCUGGCGUUGCCAUGAGACGUGGUGUAGGUCCCAGACACAGCUUGGAUCCGACAUUGCUGUGGCUGUGGUGUAGGCCAGUGGCUACAGCUCUGAUUCAACCCCUAGACUGGGAACCUCCAUAUGCCACGGGCGCAGCCCUAGAAAAGACGAAAAAAAGAGAAGUCCUGGGAAGGCAUUAUUUAAACUGUGAAAUGCUUCAGAAAUCAGGCAGUAUUGGAUCACAUGGUGGGGGAUUAUAAGUUCCAGGAGGAGAUUUUAUCUGGAAGUCACUUGGAAGGCAGGUGCAUCAUAAGCAGGUCGCUUGGUGUUUCUUCUAGUUUGGCACAUGUCAGGUGAAUGCUGCAUGAAGUUCGCCAUCGAAGGCAAUUACCAAAACCCCGAAGCUGCAUUUGAAAAAUAGGUCCUGGGAGUUCCUGUUGUGGCUCAGCGGGAACAAUCUGACUGGUAUCCAUGAGGACACAGGUUCCUUCCCUGGCCUCGCUCAGUGGGUUAAGGAUCUGGCAUUGCCCUGAAUUGUGACGUAGGUCACAGAUGCAGCUUGGAUCUGGCGUUGCUGUGGCGUUAGGCCGGUGGCUGCAGCUCUGAUUCAGCUCCUAGCCUGGGAACGUCCAUAUGCCACAGGUGUGGCCCUAAAAAGACAAAAAUAAAAAAUAGGUUCUGGAGUUCCCCUGGUGGCUCAGCAGAAACGAACCUGACUAGUAUCUAUGAGGAUGUGGGUUCGAUCCUUGGCCCUGCUCAGUGGGUUAAGGAUCCAGUGUUGCUGUGAGCUGUGGUGUAGGAUGGCAGCUAUGGCUCCAAUUCAUUUUGACUCCUAGCUUGGCAACUUGCAUAUGCCACAGGUGCAGCCCUAAAGAGACCCCCCCCCCCCCCCCGCCCAAAAGAAAAAGGUUCUAGGGAGUUCUGUGGCACAGGGAGUGAAGGAUCUGGCAUUGUCACUGCAGCAGUGUGGGUCCCUGCUGUGGCACGGGUUCGAUCCUUGGCCUGGGAACUUCCGUAUGCCGCAGGUGCUGCCAAAAAAUAAAAAACAGCUUCUGAAGCUGUAAGCUUAGGGGUGGAAGUGAGUCCUGUUUGAAAUCUGGUGCUUUUCAGGGGAGUGGGGAUCUGCCUGAGGAGAAGUGGCAGCCCCGGUCCUGGUCUCGGUCGGCCGCCUUGCGCUCAGACCACCCCUGUUUGUUUCUGUCUCCAGCGUCAUGUCAGGUCUGGCCCGUGGUUGGUGUCUGACAAAUGACUCCACUUAAAUGGCGUCUCUGAGAGUCAGCCAGCACUGUGGUUCAGAAAGACCUAAUCUCGGAAAUUACUCGUCUGAGCCCCCUGAUUUCAGUGUCGAGCCUGCAUCAGACUCCUGGAGGGGUGUUAGCAGGAACCAGUGGGGCCUGGCAUGUCUGCUUCCUUUGGUCUGGGAGGGGCCUCAGAACGUAUUUCUCACAAGUCCCAGCAUCUACGCUUUGAGAACCACAGACCCAUACAAGGAACGGCACUCCCUUAACAGCCACGACACGUGGCACUCUUCACCCUCUUUCCCCAUGGGGCUGAGCAUCCUGAGAACAGAAUGGGGUACCUUUUACAGAGGCAGAGACUGAGACUGCGAGAAGCCGUAAUGGGCCAAGAGUCACCCAGCCAGUGCUGGGGCCGGGACUUGGACCCCGGGAGUCUGAGCUCUUGUUCAGAGGUGAGGCCCGAGAGAACUGGCCCCUGGGGUCUGCAGAGAACCUGGUGUGCCAGCUGGGAGAGCCCUUCCCCUCUGCUGCCCUGGGUUUCCCCCAGGAGUGAACAGGGAGCUCCCUGGUGGUCUAAUGGUUAGGAUUUGGUGCCUUCACCACUGCAGCCUGGAUUCAAUCCCUGGUCUGGGCAAUGAGAUCUCACGGGAAGCUGCAGCCACAAAGCAGUGGAACAAACAGCCUUCUCGCUACACCAAGUGGCUUCCUGCCCUGAUGCCUAGGUGGAGGCAUGCAUGUUGUCACAAAGAGGCAGGCUUUUGCUGCUCCCCAGAACCCGCAUCUUCUGUGCACCUCAAAUUCCUACGCUGGGGGAACAAGCUGGUCCUGUCCAGAGGCGGCCUGUAGGUGGAGCUGGCACGCCUCCACCAGCCUGCUGUUCCAAGGCUUCCUGUGGGUGGUGAGGACAAAGCUGGUGACCCUGUUCAGAGCAGCAUAAGGGGGAGAGGCUGACACAGGAGGCAGAUUGCAGAAGCGGAGGGGACCUCAGACUCAGCCCAGCAGGCAGAGCUCCAAGGAGGCUCAGAUCCUGAAACCCACACCUCCCUCCCACCCUUUCCCAGCCAGUGCUUCUCAGAGUGUGCGGUGGGGGAGUUGCCGUUGUGGCUCAGCAGUUAACAAACCCAGCUAGCACCCAUGAGGAUGCGGGUUCGAUCCCUGGCCUCCCUCAAUGGGUUAAGGAUCCAGCAUUUCCCCGAGCUGUGGUGUAGGUCGCAGGCGCGGCUCGGAUCCUGCGUUGCGGCAGCUGUGGGAGCUCCCGUGUGCCUUGGGUAUGACUUAUAAAAGACCGAAAAAAGUGUUGGGUGCAGUGUGCGGUGGGGUCCCCUGAGGGCAGAGAGCACGCACCAGCGUCCGAGGGGGACUUGAAACCCUGCGCUUCAAGCCCCAAGGGGGCCUCUGGGAGGAGGCACACGAGUGCCUUGUCGUCAUCCGUCCCAGGGGCACGUGGGCCCCGGUGGGAGCCGUGAAGCAACUGUAAGAUCAUAAAUUGCAGAUUUGAGUAACGGACCUAAAUUCACCUCUUUACACCUGGUGUUAACAGUAGGGACUCAAUGAAAGCAAACACUCGUCCUUCGAGAAAAUAAAAUGGAAAAAGGCUCCAGCCACGCUGGGGAAGGGAAAAAGGGAGAAGAAAAAGCUCCAGGAGUGCGGGAGCCGCCAUCGCUACAGGCGCCACAGACGCUAGAAGGAUGCGGGGUCAUCGGGAGCAGCUUUAGACCCAAAAAUUCUACAGGUGUAUGAGACGGACACACAGACAGACCGCUGAGGCACCCUCAAGAAGAACUGGGGAGCCUGAAUAGCCCUGCACCUCCCAAAGGGAUACAAACACUUAUUUUUUGGCCGUACCUGCAGCAUGUGGAAGUUCCCGGGCCAGGGAUUGAACCCACACCAUAGCAGUGACCCAAGCCACUGCCAGUGACAACAACAGAUCCUUAACCCAAUGUCCCACAAGAGAGCCCUCUACUAAAGAAAUCUAGUCUGUGGUUUAAAACUUACAAAACUCUCGGCUCAGAUGGCUUCCCUGGCGAGUUACAGCACACACUGAAGCAUGAGAUGACACCAGCUCCACCCAAAGUCCUUCUUCGCAGAUACUCCCCCCAGGUCAUUCUGAGAGCAGCCCCAUCCUGAUUCAAAAUACAGUGACGCUGAGAGGAAACCGUAGACCAAUACUCCUCUCAAACACGGACAUCAAAGUCCUUAGCAAAUCGAUUCCAAAAGUGGAAAGAAGAAAUCAACCCGACCAAGGACAGGUUGGCGUAACAGACGUAAACCAGCGGCACGUCUCAAGUUCUCGGUGAGUAGCAGGUGCUGGCAUGGUCGCUGCUCUGACGUGAGUUCGUCCCUGACCCAAGAACUGCCACAUGCCACGGGCACGGCCAGAAAAAGAAAUCAGUGGGGCGGGGACUUCAACCAAAGACAGAACGGAGAGAAGCGGAGCCGCUCAAGAAGCCCUGAAUGAGCUCAGCCUCAGGCUCUGCUGGCAGAUUCCCCAGGACAGAAACCUGGCGAACAGCAGAGAACCCACUGCUCCUGAGAACAAAGACUAAAUAUAGAGGCCCCCUCGUGGUGCAGCAGAAACAAUCCGACUAGUAUCCAUGAGGACGCAGGUUCGAUCCCUGGCCUCACUCAGUGGAUUAAGGAUCUGGUGUUGCUGUGCACUGUGGUGUAGGUCGUGGAUGAGGCUUGGGUCCCACCUUGUUGUGGCUGUGGCUGGCAGCUGCAGCUCCCAUUCACCCUCAGCCUGGAAACUUCCAUAUGCCAUGGGUGUGGCCCUUAAAAAGCAGAAAAAACCCUUUCAGCUAAUAUGCUCAGUGGUAAGAAGCCAGCGCCUUCCUUUUAUGGUUGGGAUCAAGGUAAGGUUAUCCACUCUCCGUCCUGCCCUUCAGUAUGGUGCUGGAGCUUCGCGCCACUGCAACAGAGCAAGAAAAAGCCUGCAAACCCCUAACGAAUGUGACACAGUAAAAUUUCAUGUAGAGAUGACAUGGUCACCUCUAGAAAACCUUGAGGCAUCUUCCAUGAAGCCAGCAGCCCUACUAGGUGUGUUGAGCAAGUUUGCAGCAUCAAAUGCCAAUAUACAAAAAUCACCUGUAUUUUUAUAUAAUAGCAACAAACAAGGGGAAAUGAAACUUUUAAAAAUGCUGUUUAUGGAGUUCCUGCUGUGGCACAGUGGGUUAAGGACCUAACGUUGCUGCAGCUUUGGUGGCAGUCACAGCUUCUGCUCAGAUUUGAUCCCUGGCCCAGGAACUUCCGUAUGCCAAGGGUGUGGCCAAAAAGGAAAAAAACGCUGUUUAUAAUAUCAUUAUGUAAAUAUGCCGCAAAGGGGACAGAUUUGAUAAAAGAUAUAUAAGGCCUAGAAACUGAAGAAACGUCAGAGAGACAUCAAGGCAAAUGACGGAGCGAUGUGGCGUAUACUCUGGCUGAGAAGACCCAGUCUUGUUCAGGUGACAGAGCAUCUUCAAGGCGACCCAUGGAUUCAAGACAAUGCCAGUCAUAUUCCCAGUUGGCUUCUGUAGAAAUCGCCAAGCAGGUUUUAAAAGGCAUGUGUACACGCUUGUUCGUAGGAACUUCGCUUCUAGUCACCAAAACCUGGGGAGAGAUUCAAACGUCCAUCAGCAGGCGAGCGGCUUAACAAACCGCACUACUGUCCCUACUCAGUGGGGAACUGCUCGGGCGGUGGAACCUCACCCAUCGCGCACGGGGGUGAAUCUCGCACUCGUCACACCCAGCGACAGAAGCUGGACGGAAAAGAGGAACAUACCGAGAAAGACCGUCUCCACCACGUGCCCAAGAGGAAAACCUGCUGUGGGAGUCCGGUUUUAGCCAGUCUGGGAGACGUCCAUGCGUCUCCGGUGACCUCGGGCAUCGGUGGUUUCCUGCAUUGGGAGCGAUGGGUCACAGAGAGCAGAGGACACGGAGGCGGUGGAUCUGUUCAUUUUCUUGACGAGAGAGGUGGCCUGACGGGUCCACGCGUGUGUCAAAACUCGUAAAUGGUGCGCUUCCUUUGCUGGUUUAUUUUGGCCGAGGCAUGCGGCGGCUUUGAUGUGGGAUCUCAGUUCCUAGAGCAGGGCUGCAGCGGGGAGAGCCGUGCGCCCCGAGGGCCGGAGCACCAGGGAAUUCCCAGCAAACGGUGCGUCCUAAACAAUGAAGUUUACUGUACGUUCUCUCUCAAUAAGGCUGUACAACAAAGAUGUAAAAUUUUUAGUCAGACUCAGAAAACAAAGGCAUGGGGAGUGCCCAGUGUUGCUCAGUGGGUUAAGAACCCAACGUAGUCUCUGUGAGGAUGCGGGUUCGAUCCCUGGCCUCGGUCAGUGGGUUAGGGCUCCAGCAUGGCCCCAAGCUGCUACAGAGGUCGCAGGUGCUGCUUGGAUCCAGCGGUGCCGUGGCCGUGGUGGAGGCCGGCAGCUGCAGCUCCCAUCCGACCCCUAGCCUGGGAACUUCCAGAUGACACCAGUGCGGCCCUAAAAAAAAAUGAGUAAAGUGAAAAAUUAAGACAUGGUUGCGCAAUGAAUGACCCGAAGAGGGGGUACAACGAACAUCCACUGAGCCUCCGCUAACUCACUUUAUUGGAGUAAAUCACUUCUUAGUAGAUGGAGACAGUGUGUGUUUUUUUAAAUACAGGAGUAAUUACAAUACUUGAGGGGCCCCGACAUUCAAAAAGUUCCAACGACGCCUGUGCGUUUAGAGGCGCACCUUCACGGGGAGGGUCACCGAACCCGUGCUUGGCAGCGGCGCGCGCCGGAGACGCCGCAGGAGCUUGCAAACAGCAAACCCGACAACGAUGCUUUCUUCCUAAAGUUGGAGGUACGUGAAAUACCAAUAAACCUUGUUUUCAAA
rnacentral:lncRNA from 1 species